AUUGAACGCUGGCGGCAUGCUUUACACAUGCCAGUCGAACGGUAACAGGCCUUCGGGUGCUGACGAGUGGCGCACGGGUGAGUAAUGCAUCGGAACGUACCCAGAGGUGGGGGAUAACGCAGCGAAAGCUGUGCUAAUACCGCAUGUGAUCUGAGGAUGAAAGCGGGGGACCGAGCAGCAAUGUUUGGCCUCGCGCCUUUGGAGCGGCCGAUGUCGGAUUAGCUAGUUGGUGGGGUAAAGGCCUACCAAGGCGACGAUCCGUAGCUGGUCUGAGAGGACGACCAGCCACACUGGGACUGAGACACGGCCCAGACUCCUACGGGAGGCAGCAGUGGGGAAUUUUGGACAAUGGGCGCAAGCCUGAUCCAGCAAUGCCGCGUGCGGGAAGAAGGCCUUCGGGUUGUAAACCGCUUUUGGCAGGAACGAAACGGUGUCCGCUAAUACCGGGCGCUAAUGACGGUACCUGCAGAAUAAGCACCGGCUAACUACGU
rnacentral:rRNA from 1 species